UCGGGAAUUUUGCUCAAUGGGCGCAAGCCUGAAGCAGCAACGCCGCGUGCGGGAUGAAGGCCUUCGGGUUGUAAACCGCUUUUACCAGGGACGAUAAUGACGGUACCUGAUGAAUAAGUCACGGCUAACUACGUGCCAGCAGCCGCGGUAAUACGUAGGUGACCAGCGUUGUCCGGAUUUACUGGGCGUAAAGAGCGCGCAGGCGGUCGUUCAAGUCGAGUGUGAAAGCCCCCGGCUCAACUGGGGAGGGUCACUCGAUACUGAUCGACUUGAAGGCAGGAGAGGGAAGCGGAAUUCCCGGUGUAGUGGUGAAAUGCGUAGAUAUCGGGAGGAACACCAGUGGCGAAGGCGGCUUCCUGGCCUGUUCUUGACGCUGAGGCGCGAAAGCUAGGGGAGCAAACG
rnacentral:rRNA from 1 species